GACGAACGCUGGCGGCGUGCUUAACACAUGCAAGUCGAGCGGAAAGGCCCUGCUUGCAGGGUACUCGAGUGGCGAACGGGUGAGUAACACGUGGGUGAUCUGCCCUGCACUUCGGGAUAAGCCUGGGAAACUGGGUCUAAUACCGGAUAUGACCUUCCAUGUAGUGUGGGGGGUGGAAAGAUUUAUCGGUGUGGGAUGAGCCCGCGGCCUAUCAGCUUGUUGGUGGGGUAAUGGCCUACCAAGGCGUCGACGGGUAGCCGGCCUGAGAGGGUGGACGGCCACAUUGGGACUGAGAUACGGCCCCGACUCCUACGGGAGGCAGCAGUGGGGAAUAUUGCACAAUGGGCGGAAGCCUGAUGCAGCGACGCCGCGUGGGGGAUGACGGCCUUCGGGUUGUAAACCUCUUUCGACAGGGACGAAGCUUCGGUGACGGUACCUGUAUAAGAAGCACCGGCUAACUACGUG
rnacentral:rRNA from 1 species